AUUGAACGCUGGCGGCAGGCCUAACACAUGCAAGUCGAGCGGCAGCGGGAAAGUAGCUUGCUACUUUUGCCGGCGAGCGGCGGACGGGUGAGUAAUGCCUGGGAAAUUGCCCAGUCGAGGGGGAUAACAGUUGGAAACGACUGCUAAUACCGCAUACGCCCUCCGGGGGAAAGCAGGGGACCUUCGGGCCUUGCGCGUGUGGAUAUGCCCAGGUGGGAUUAGCUAGUUGGUGAGGUAAUGGCUCACCAAGGCGACGAUCCCUAGCUGGUCUGAGAGGAUGAUCAGCCACACUGGAACUGAGACACGGUCCAGACUCCUACGGGAGGCAGCAGUGGGGAAUAUUGCACAAUGGGGGAAACCCUGAUGCAGCCAUGCCGCGUGUGUGAAGAAGGCCUUCGGGUCGUAAAGCACUUUCAGCGAGGAGGAAAGGUUGAUGCCUAAUACGUAUCAACUGUGACGUUACUCGCAGAAGAAGCACCGGCUAACUCCGUGCCAGCCGCCGCAGUAAUAC
rnacentral:rRNA from 1 species